GAUGAACGCUAGCGACAGGCCUAACACAUGCAAGUCGAGCGGCAGCGACAGUAACAAUCCUUCGGGUGUGUUACUGGGCGGCGAGCGGCGGACGGGUGAGUAAUGCCUGGGAAUAUGCCUUAGUGUGGGGGAUAACUAUUGGAAACGAUAGCUAAUACCGCAUAAUGCCUACGGGCCAAAGAGGGGGAUCUUCGGACCUCUCGCGUCAAGAUUAGCCCAGGUGGGAUUAGCUAGUUGGUGGGGUAAUGGCUCACCAAGGCGACGAUCCCUAGCUGGUUUGAGAGGAUGAUCAGCCACACUGGAACUGAGACACGGUCCAG
rnacentral:rRNA from 1 species